GAGUUUGAUCCUGGCUCAGAUUGAACGUUGGCGGCAGGCUUAACACAUGCAAGUCGAACGAGAAAGUCCCUUCGGGGAUGAGUACGGUGGCGGACGGGUGAGUAACGCGUAGGAAUCUGCCUGGUAAUGGGGGAUAACUCGGGGAAACUCGAGCUAAUACCGCAUACGCUCUACGGAGGAAAGAGGGCCUCUAUUUAUAAGCUCUCGUUAUCAGAGGAGCCUGCGUAGGAUUAGCUAGUUGGUAGGGUAAAGGCCUACCAAGGCGACGAUCCUUAGCUGGUCUGAGAGGACGAUCAGCCACACUGGAACUGAGACACGGUCCAGACUCCUACGGGAGGCAGC
rnacentral:rRNA from 1 species